GGAGGAAUCAACCAAAACUCUUAUUGUAUACCCCCUCGCGGGUUUUUUUUAUAAUCUGAGCCUUCUCGGCGCCUCUCGUAGGCGUUUCGAAAAUGAAUCAAAACUUUCAACAACGGAUCUCUUGGUUCUGGCAUCGAUGAAGAACGCAGCGAAAUGCGAUAAGUAAUGUGAAUUGCAGAAUUCAGUGAAUCAUCGAAUCUUUGAACGCACAUUGCGCCCGCCAGUAUUCUGGCGGGCAUGCCUGUCCGAGCGUCAUUUCAACCCUCGAACCCCUCCGGGGGGUCGGCGUUGGGGAUCGGCCUUCCUUCACGGGGGCCGUCUCCGAAAUACAGUGGCGGUCUCGCCGCAGCCUCUCCUGCGCAGUAGUUUGCACACUCGCAUCGGGAGCGCGGCGCGUCCACAGCCGUUAAACACCCAACUUUCUGAAAUGUUGACCUCGGAUCAGGUAGGAAUACCCGCUGAACUUA
rnacentral:rRNA from 1 species